rnacentral:rRNA from 1 species
GUCCACGCUGUAAACGAUGGGCACUAGGUGUCCGGGGUAUUGACCCCCUGGGUGCCGCAGCUAACGCAUUAAGUGCCCCGCCUGGGGAGUACGGUCGCAAGAUUAAAACUCAAAGGAAUUGACGGGGGCCCGCACAAGCGGUGGAGCAUGUGGUUCAAUUCGACGCAACGCGAAGAACCUUACCUGGGCUAGACAACGGUGGACCAUCCUAGAAAUAGGAACUUCCCUUCGGGGACCGCCGGUUCAGGUGCUGCAUGGCUGUCGU